ACAUGCAAAAGGAUCACAACAUCCAUUUCCAUGUGUAAAAAAAUAAAAAAGGUAAAAACUCAUGCAUCAAACCUCCACAAAAAAUCCCUACUCCUCUCAUUGAUCCCCCCAUCCCUGAAGCAGCAGACAGCUCAUCAACUGAUCGCAUACAACAAAUUUGCAAAUUCCGCUUUAAUUCAGAACUCAUGACCCAAAAAUCCCAGCUUGCUGCAUCCAUCUCUACUCUUACAGCUUCCUGCUUCUUUCAGACACUGGAAACUGGCAUGCAUAGACUUCUAUGGUUGUUCAGUAACGACUGGUAUCGAAUUGGGGCAGUUAAACAAACGAUUUGGACAAAAUGUUUCUUUGAUGCUUUACCAAUUUCGUAAGAAGAAAACAAAGAGAGAGAGAGAGAGAGAGAGAGAGAGAGAGAG
rnacentral:lncRNA from 1 species